rnacentral:rRNA from 1 species
UAACGGCGAGUGAACCGGGAUGAGCUCAAAUUUAAAAUCUGGCGUCUUUCAGGCGUCCGAGUUGUAAUCUAUAGAGGCGUUUUCCGCGCCGGACCGCGUCCAAGUCUCUUGGAAUAGAGUAUCAAAGAGGGUGACAAUCCCGUACUUGACGCGACAACCGGUGCUCUGUGAUACGUUCUCAAUGAGUCGAGUUGUUUGGGAAUGCAGCUCUAAAUGGGUGGUAAAUUCCAUCUAAGGCUAAAUAUUGGCGAGAGACCGAUAGCGAACAAGUACCGUGAGGGAAAGAUGAAAAGCACUUUGGAAAGAGAGUUAAACAGCACGUGAAAUUGUUAAAAGGGAAACGAUUGAAGUCAGUCGUGUGAAAGGUAUUCAGCCGUCUCUGGCGGUGUAUUUGCCUUUCACGGGUCAACAUCAGUUUGAUCCGGUAGAAAAAGGCAGGAUGAAGGUGGCACCCUCGGGUGUGUUAUAGCUUUCUGUCAUAUGUGCCGGACCAGACUGAGGAACGCAGCUUGCCGCAAGGCCGGGUUCGCCCACGUACAAGCUUAGGAUGUUGACAUAAUGGCUUUAAA